rnacentral:rRNA from 1 species
AGAGUUUGAUCAUGGCUCAGGAUGAACGCUAGCGGCAGGCUUAAUACAUGCAAGUCGAACGGGAUUCAGGUAGCAAUACUUGAUGAGAGUGGCGCACGGGUGCGUAACACGUAUGCAACCUACCUUUAACUGGUGAAUAGCCCCGGGAAAUCGGGAUUAAUACACCAUAACAUUACAAGAGGGCAUCCUCUAAUAAUUAAAGAACUUCGGUUAAAGAUGGGCAUGCGGGACAUUAGCUAGUUGGUGAGGUAACGGCUCACCAAGGCAACGAUGUCUAGGGGUCCUGAGAGGGUUAUCCCCCACACUGGUACUGAGACACGGACCAGACUCCUACGGGAGGCAGCAGUAAGGAAUAUUGGUCAAUGGGCGCAAGCCUGAACCAGCCAUGCCGCGUGAAAAGGAAGACGGCGCUAUGCGUUGUAAACUUCUUUUGUCAGGGAAUAAAUGUAGGUACGUGUACUUACUUGAAGGUACCUGAAGAAUAAGCAUCGGCUAACUCCGUGCCAGCAGCCGC